CCUACGAUGCAGUCGUCGCUUCGGAAAUUGUCGAACACGUCGCCGAUCUUCCCGGAUUCAUUGGCUGCCUCGCUGAGCUGGCUCGCCCCGGUGCCCCGCUCUUCAUCACAACUAUCAACAGAACGUGGCUGAGCAAAUUGGCAGCUAUUUGGCUUGCAGAGAAUGUACUCAAAAUCGUGCCGCCCGGAGUCCACGACUGGGAAAAAUUCAUCACACCCGCCGAGCUCACUUCACAUCUCGAAAAAGCGGGUUGCCGGGUGACGGCGGUGCAUGGAUUAAUGUUUCAUCCGGUUGGAAAUCACUGGACAUGGAUCGAAUCGACUCAGUGUAAUUACGGAAUUUUGGCAGUGAAGAAUUAG
rnacentral:misc_RNA from 1 species